rnacentral:rRNA from 1 species
AACUUUCAACAACGGAUCUCUUGGCUCUCGCAUCGAUGAAGAACGCAGCGAAAUGCGAUAAGUAAUGUGAAUUGCAGAAUUCAGUGAAUCAUCGAAUCUUUGAACGCACCUUGCGCCCCUUGGUAUUCCGAGGGGCAUGCCUGUUUGAGUGUCAUGUUAAUCUCAAACCCCUUGUC